rnacentral:rRNA from 1 species
CCUACGGGGGGCAGCAGUGAGGAAUAUUGGUCAAUGGGCGCGAGCCUGAACCAGCAACGUAGCGUGAAGGAUGACUGCCCUACGGGUUGUAAACUUCUUUUAUAAAGGAAUACAGUGAGGCUCGUGUGCCUUUUUGUCUGUACUUUAUGAAUAAGGAUCGGCUAACUCCGUGCCAGCAGCCGCGGUAAUACGGAGGAUCCGAGCGUUAUCCGGAUUUAUUGGGUUUAACGGGAGCGUAGAUGGGUUGUUAAGUCAGUUGUGAAAGUUUGCGGCUCAACCGUAAAAUGGCAAUUGAUACUGGCAGUCUUGAGUACAGUUGAGGUAGGCGGAAUUCGUGGUGUAGCGGUGAAAUGCUUAGAUAUCACGAAGAACUCCGAUUGCGAAGGCAGCUUACUAAACUGCCACUGACAUUGAUGCUCGAAAGUGUGGGUAGCAAACAGGAUUAGAUACCCGUGUAGUC